rnacentral:rRNA from 1 species
CCCCAGACUCCUACGGGAGGCAGCAGUGGGGAAUAUUGCACAAUGGGGGGAACCCUGAUGCAGCAACGCCGCGUGGGUGAAGAAGUACUCCGGUAUGUAAAGCCCUGUCAGCAGGGAAGAAAAUGACGGUACCUGACCAAGAAGCCCCGGCUAACUACGUGCCAGCAGCCGCGGUAAUACGUAGGGGGCAAGCGUUAUCCGGAUUUACUGGGUGUAAAGGGAGCGUAGACGGCUGUGCAAGUCUGAAGUGAAAGCCCAGGGCUCAACCCUGGGACUGCUUUGGAAACUGUGGAGCUAGAGUGCUGGAGAGGUAAGUGGAAUUCCUAGUGUAGCGGUGAAAUGCGUAGAUAUUAGGAGGAACACCAGUGGCGAAGGCGGCUUACUGGACAGUAACUGACGUUGAGGCUCGAAAGCGUGGGGAGCAAACAGGAUUAGAUACCCCCGUA